AGGGGAGUGACAGAACUCUCGCGAGUGUGCAGGUCUUCUUCCGGCUGGCUCUUGCUGCCCCAGGCUGUUUGCGCCUCUCUAGCAGCUUGUGGUUUCCAUCCCCUGCGGAACGGUGAGUGGAGGAUCGUCGAGGGGCAGCGAGCGUGGCCAGGGCGUUUGACGCCGCAGGCUGGGAGCUGCCUGUCUGAACGCGGAGGCCCAGGUGAGGCGCGGCUGGGGCAGUGGGGUCUCAGCUGACAGAAUUCGGGCUUUACCUGGCGUUCCCAGUUUUCUCCUCGUGGAGCAGAGGUUCACCGGGAGUGUGGCUCUGCUGCCGCUUGGCAGAAGGAACCCAAGGUAGUAAAGCGCCACCUGGUAGGCCCUGACGCUCCUCCAUCUGUGUUGAACGGUUUGAAACCUUGGGACAUUUGAAUUAGAAAUUGUGGGCAAGCCUUGCUUAAAUGGUGGGUUCUUAUCCCAGCCUGUUUCGAGCUCGCCCUUAUUAAGCUGAUGUACAGAUAGUUUAAGGGAGGGCAGGAUUGAGGCAGGAGAUAGAUGGGCUCUGGGACAGACCUUAACAACCAGCCUCCUAUUUAUACUUCCUGAGGCGGGACAUAGGUGAGCUCUCAGAUAAACAUUUACAUCCAGCCACCUACUUAUACUUCCAUGAUAGAAAUAGCAACAAGCAAAAAGCAAAUAAUUAGUUCACUUAUCUUAUGUGAACUUGUUAAACAGUGGUGAUGACACAUACUUACCAUUCUGGGUUCAGGAAGACCCAAACUGUACAUAAGCAGAAAGACCCCUCUGGGUUAGAAGGGGGCGGGGGGGAUGUGCAGCACCAGGCCAUAGUAAGUCUAGCUAACCUUCCCAUAAGCCCUUGUUCUGAUACCCAUCUUGGCCAAAAGAUCCACCCGCAGAUCAGGUAGGGCCCUGGGUCUUGUCAGGUGUGAAAAAUAAAACAAGAUAAUUGGCCAAAGGAAAACAAAGACUUGGAAGAACUGUCCCAUAUAUGUGAUUUAAAUCACCCCUCUGGCACGCUCCUUAUUCAGGGGGAUGCCCGCACCACACACCUUUCGGUGUGUAUGACUGCUUUACUUUGGCCUUAGAUAAAUAGACUACUUCUCUGUGCGCUCUCCCACGUGCUGUAUUGAGUUUCUAAAAAUAAACUUUGUAUCUGCUUUUACAUUCUUGCUUUCAACAGGGGGGCAAGAAUCCAGGCAAUUCUGCUUCUAGCCUCUAGCUAGCUGAUCUAGUGGCUAAGAUUCCUGGUUUUCACCCAGGCUGCCCAGGUUCAAUUCCUGAGCAGAGACUUAAGAGCUCGCUUCAAGCCUUGGUUCACUGAUGUCUCUCUGAGAUCAGGGUCACAUCUACAUUGUGAAGUUCGUUUCUUAAUGCAGAAAGCAGCCCUAUUCGCCGCCUAAAAAGGUAAUGCAGAUUCCUCCAGUAAAGGAACAUGUAAGUAUGCACUGAAUUCUUGCACUUGGCAAACCACAAAGUUACCUUAAGUACUUAAUACAAAGGAAAAGUCUUGAGCCUGAGUCUAUUUUCACUGAAGCAAAAGCACAUCAAGAAGAGGGGGAGGAGAGGGGAGGCAGAGGAGAUUUGGGAAGAAAAUACCUUGUAGGGGACUGAAUCAUCACAGGCCAUUGUGAAAGAUGUUAGAAAAUAAAAAGUGUUGGCAGGGAUGUGGAGAAAUUGGAACCUGGUGCAUCCCUGGUGGGAAUGUAAAAUGGUAUCAUUGCUGUGGAGAACAGUCUGACUGCUCCUCCAAAAAUUACAGAGUUACCAGAUGAUCCAGCAAUUUUGCUUCUUGGGUAUAGAUACCCAAAAGAAUUGAAAGCAGGGACUCAAACAGAUACUUGUACACCCAUGUUCAUAGCAACAAUAUUCCCAACAGCCAAAAGGUGACAACCCAAAUGUCCAUCUAGAGAUGACAUAUAUAUAUAUGCCACAUUUUGUAUAUGUAUGUUUUAUAUAUAUAUAUAUGCAUAACAUUGCAUUUAUACACACACACACACACACACACACACACACCACACACUGGAUUAUUCAGCCUUAAAAAGGAAUGAAUAAUGACUGCUACAACAUGGGUGAGCCUUGAAAACGUAAGUGAAAUAAGCCAGGUACAACGACAUGAUUCCACUCUUAGGAGGUAGUGUAGUUAAAUUCAGAGACUCUUAGGGAUUACCAGGGGCUAGGGAGAGGAGAGAAUGGGGAGGUACUAUAUAAUAGGUACAGAAUUUGUUUGAGAUGAUGGAAAUAUUCUGGAAAUAAUAGUUGCACAACUUUGUGCGUGUAAUUAACACCACUGAAUUGUACACUCAUAAUGGCUAAAAGAUUUAUGUAAUGCAUGUUUCUCUACCAUAAAAACGAAAAGCAAAGAGCUCAACAGAUACAAUCUAAGAUCACAACCAAUCACUGGAAAACCUCGUUUUAAUUUUAAUUCCAGCAUCUACAUUGGACAAUUAGCAUUUGUAAAAACCUUUUCAUGCUUUGAGAACUAAAUGAAAAGACACUCAUGUUGAAAGCUUACCAGAUGCUACUUUUCAGUGUAUGUGCAUUUGUUUUAAACUGAAUGCACUAAGUAGCAUUUGCAGGAUGAACAUGGAUAACAAUACUUGAGGGUUAGAAUUCCUCGCUAUCCAACCACACAUUGUAUUAUACAGGCUGGCGACAACAGCAUCCAUUCUCAUUAGGUAUUUGGAAAUUAUUUUAGUGUCUUGCAUUUGGCCUCACUAUCAAUCACCAUCAAUAGAAAAGUUAUUUCAAACUAGCUCAUUCUAAAUAGACAACUAAGUGGUAGCUUCCAUGAUGUCUUAGGUUCUUUGCGGGGUGGAAGAGCAGGGUAAAUGCUCCCUGCACAUAAUAUACUUAACAUAUUUCAAGUAUCAUUUUACUCUUCAUAUGACAAGUGAGAAAAUGCUGAUUUAUUUAUUUCCUCCCCCUUUGUAGGUGGGAAAUAGAAGGCAUUUGAGCUGAGAUAUUACGACGCCAAAACCUUUAUCAGCUUCUCCAAAUAUUAUUUGCACUCUUCCACUUUAUUUAUUUUUCUUUUUAGGGCCGCACGUGUAGCAUAUGAAAAGUGUCCAGGCUAGGGGUCGAAUUGGAGCUGCUGCUGCCAGCCUACACCACAGCCAUAGCACCUCGGGAUCCGAGCCAAGUCUGCCCCCUACACCACAGCUCAUGCAACGCCAGAUCCUUAACCCACUGAGUGAGGCCAGGGAUUGAACCCUUAUCCUCAGAGAGACAGCAUCAGGAUCUUAGCCCAUUUAGCCACAAAGGGAAUGCCUCUGUUUUAAUUUUGACUAAGUUUUCAUGUGUGGCUUGUGAAAUCAGAGGAGUGAUUGUUGCCAGGGAUGUUAUAACGUUUCAGCUGGCCUAACAGUGCUUUCAAGGUCACCAGCUAACUUUGUAAGUAGAAUUUUUUUUUUUACCAUAAAAAUGAGUGAUGGUUAUUUAGAGUAAAAAGUUUAUACUAAAUCUUGUGUGAUGUUAAAUAAAUCUGCAAGAUACUUGAAAUGUUAAAGGUUUAUGGUGAAGAAGUAAUAUCAAGAGCAAGAGUUUGGGGCUGGCAAUAAAAGGUUUAAAGAAGGGAGUUCCUGUUGUGGCUCAGCUGGUUACAAACCCAACUGGGAUCCAUGAAGAAGCAGGUUCAAUCCCUGGCCUCGCUUAGUGGGUUAAGGAUCCGGCGUUUGCUGUAAGCUGUGGUGUGUAAGUCUCAAGACAGGGCUCAGAUCCCUAGAUGCUGAAGCAUAGGCUGGCAGCUGCAGCUCCAGCUCUGAUUUGACCUCUAGCCUAGGGAUCCUGGAGACUUCCAUGUGCCUGGAGUGUGGCCCUAAGAAG
rnacentral:lncRNA from 1 species